CAAUAAGCGGAGGAAAAGAAACCAACAGGGAUUGCCUUAGUAACGGCGAGUGAAGCGGCAAAAGCUCAAAUUUGAAAUCUGGCACCUUCGGUGUCCGAGUUGUAAUUUGAAGAAGGUAACUUUGGGAUUGGCUCUUGUCUAAGUUCCUUGGAACAGGACGUCACAGAGGGUGAGAAUCCCGUGCGAUGAGAUGACCAAUCCUAUGUAAAGUGCUUUCGAAGAGUCGAGUUGUUUGGGAAUGCAGCUCUAAGUGGGUGGUAAAUUCCAUCUAAAGCUAAAUAUUGGCGAGAGACCGAUAGCGAACAAGUACAGUGAUGGAAAGAUGAAAAGAACUUUGAAAAGAGAGUGAAAAAGUACGUGAAAUUGUUGAAAGGGAAGGGCUUGAGAUCAGACUUGGUAUUUUGCAUUCCUUACCUUCGUGGUGGGGUUCCUUGCAGUUUACUGGGCCAGCAUCGGUUUGGAUGGUGGGAUAAUGACAUUGGAAUGUGGCUCUGCUUCGGUAGAGUGUUAUAGCCAGUGUUGAUACCGCCUGUCUAGACCGAGGACUGCGUCUUUGACUAGGAUGCUGGCA
rnacentral:rRNA from 1 species